GGACUUUUGGUGGAGGAACCAAACUCAUCAUUAACUCUGGCACCAUGGUCAGGCCCUCAGUCUCUCUGCUUCCCCCCUCCUCUGAGCAGCUCUCUGGGGGCUCGGCCACGCUGGCCUGCCUGCUGACCGGCUACUCUCCUCAGGGAGCCGUGGUGAGCUGGCAGGUGGACGGUACGGAGGUGACGGAGGGGGUCCUGAGCAGCUCAGAGGAGGAGAAGAGCGGCCGCUACAGCAGCAGCAGCACCCUGAGCCUGAGCCAGGAGCGCUGGAUGGAAGGAGAGCUGUACUCCUGCAGGGUCCUCCAUCAGGGCCACAGCCAGACCCAGUCCCUCCACAGGAGCCAGUGUAAGGGCUAGAGGGGCCGGCUGAAGCCCAGGACAGGAGCUCUGUGGGGGGGGAGCAGCUCUGAUCA